rnacentral:rRNA from 1 species
GACGAACCGUGCGAACGUUGUUCGGAUUCACUGGGUUUAAAGGGUGCGUAGGUGGGUUGGUAAGUCAGUGGUGAAAUCUCCGAGCUUAACUUGGAAACUGCCGUUGAUACUAUCAAUCUUGAAUAUCGCGUAGGUAAGCGGAAUAUGUCAUGUAGCGGUGAAAUGCUUAGAUAUGACAUAGAACACCAAUUGCGAAGGCAGCUUACUUCACGAUCAUUGACACUGAGGCACGAAAGCGUGGGGAGCAAACAGG